CGUGAGUGAUGAAGGUUUUCGGAUCGUAAAGCUCUGUUGUUAGGGAAGAACAAGUGCAAGAGUAACUGCUUGCACCUUGACGGUACCUAACCAGAAAGCCACGGCUAACUACGUGCCAGCAGCCGCGGUAAUACGUAGGUGGCGAGCGUUGUCCGGAAUUAUUGGGCGUAAAGGGCUCGCAGGCGGUUUCUUAAGUCUGAUGUGAAAGCCCCCGGCUCAACCGGGGAGGGUCAUUGGAAACUGGGAAACUUGAGUGCAGAAGAGGAGAGUGGAAUUCCACGUGUAGCGGUGAAAUGCGUAGAGAUGUGGAGGAACACCAGUGGCGAAGGCGACUCUCUGGUCUGUAACUGACGCUGAGGAGCGAAAGCGUGGGGAGCGAACAGGAUUAGAUACCCUGGUAGUCCACGCCGUAAACGAUGAGUGCUAAGUGUUAGGGGGUUUCCGCCCCUUAGUGCUGCAGCUAACGCAUUAAGCACUCCGCCUGGGGAGUACGGUCGCAAGACUGAAACUCAAAGGAAUUGACGGGGGCCCGCACAAGCGGUGGAGCAUGUGGUUUAAUUCGAAGCAACGCGAAGAACCUUACCAGGUCUUGACAUCCUCUGACAACCCUAGAGAUAGGGCUUUCCCUUCGGGGACAGAGUGACAGGUGGUGCAUGGUUGUCGUCAGCUCGUGUCGUGAGAUGUUGGGUUAAGUCCCGCAACGAGCGCAACCCUUGAUCUUAGUUGCCAGCAUUCAGUUGGGCACUCUAAGGUGACUGCCGGUGACAAACCGGAGGAAGGUGGGGAUGACGUCAAAUCAUCAUGCCCCUUAUGACCUGGGCUACACACGUGCUACAAUGGACAGAACAAAGGGCUGCGAGACCGCAAGGUUUAGCCAAUCCCACAAAUCUGUUCUCAGUUCGGAUCGCAGUCUGCAACUCGACUGCGUGAAGCUGGAAUCGCUAGUAAUCGCGAUCAGC
rnacentral:rRNA from 1 species